GGACCCGCACAAGCGGUGGAGCAUGUGGUUUAAUUCGAUGCAACGCGAAGAACCUUACCUGGCCUUGACAUCCACGGAAUUCUGCAGAGAUGCGGAAGUGCCUUCGGGAACCGUGAGACAGGUGCUGCAUGGCUGUCGUCAGCUCGUGUCGUGAGAUGUUGGGUUAAGUCCCGCAACGAGCGCAACCCUUGUCCUUAGUUGCCAUCAUUCAGUUGGGAACUCUAAGGAGACCGCCGGUGACAAACCGGAGGAAGGUGGGGAUGACGUCAAGUCAUCAUGGCCUUUAUGGCCAGGGCUACACACGUGCUACAAUGGCAGGUACAGAGGGAAGCCAACGCGCGAGCGGGAGCCAAUCCCAGAAAGCCUGUCGUAGUCCGGAUCGGAGUCUGCAACUCGACUCUGUGAAGUUGGAAUCGCUAGUAAUCGCAGAUCAGCAUUGCUGCGGUGAAUACGUUCCCGGGUCUU
rnacentral:rRNA from 1 species